GUGGAUUAGAUACCCUGGUAGUCCACGCCCUAAACGAUGUCGACUAGUUGUUGGGGAAGGUAACUUCCUUAGUAACGUAGCUAACGCGUGAAGUCGACCGCCUGGGGAGUACGGCCGCAAGGUUAAAACUCAAAGGAAUUGACGGGGACCCGCACAAGCGGUGGAUGAUGUGGAUUAAUUCGAUGCAACGCGAAAAACCUUACCUACCCUUGACAUGUCCGGAACCUCGAUGAGAGUUGGGGGUGCCCGAAAGGGAGCCGGAACACAGGUGCUGCAUGGUGGUCGACAGCU
rnacentral:rRNA from 1 species